CCCUUAGAUGUCCGGGGCCGCACGCGCGCUACACUGAAGGAAUCAGCGUGGCUUUCUCCCUGACCCGAAAGGGUUGGGAAACCCGUUGAAUCUCCUUCGUGAUAGGGAUUGGGGCUUGAAAUUGUUCCCCAUGAACGAGGAAUUCCCAGUAAGCGCGAGUCAUAAGCUCGCGUUGAUUACGUCCCUGCCCUUUGUACACACCGCCCGUCGCUACUACCGAUUGAACGGUUUAGUGAGGGCCUCGGAUUGGUCUAGGCCCGCUCUUUACCGGGCGGCGCCGUUGGUCGAGAAGACGCUCGAACUUGAUCGUUUAGAGGAAGUAGAAGUCGUAACA
rnacentral:rRNA from 1 species